rnacentral:rRNA from 1 species
UACGUAGGGUCCGAGCGUUGUCCGGAAUUACUGGGCGUAAAGCGUGCGCAGGCGGUUUUGUAAGCCAGAUGUGAAAUCCCCGGGCUUAACCUGGGAAUGGCAUUUGGGACUGCAAGGCUUGAGUGCGGCAGAGGAGACUGGAAUUCCUGGUGUAGCAGUGAAAUGCGUAGAUAUCAGGAGGAACACCGAUGGCGAAGGCAGGUCUCUGGGCUGACACUGACGCUCAUGCACGAAAGCGUGGGGAGCAAACAGG